UGGGGAAUAUUGGACAAUGGGGGGAACCCUGAUCCAGCCAUGCCGCGUGUGUGAAGAAGGCCUUAUGGUUGUAAAGCACUUUAAGCGAGGAGGAGGGUACUGGUAUUAAUACUACCAGGUACUGGACGUUACUCGCAGAAUAAGCACCGGCUAACUCUGUGCCAGCAGCCGCGGUAAUACAGAGGGUGCGAGCGUUAAUCGGAUUUACUGGGCGUAAAGCGUGCGUAGGCGGCUAAUUGAGUCGGAUGUGAAAUCCCCGAGCUUAACUUGGGAAUUGCAUUCGAUACUGGUUAGCUAGAGUGUGGGAGAGGAUGGUAGAAUUCCAGGUGUAGCGGUGAAAUGCGUAGAGAUCUGGAGGAAUACCGAUGGUGAAGGCAGCCAUCUGGCCUAACACUGACGCUGAGGUACGAAAGCAUGGGGAGCAAACAGG
rnacentral:rRNA from 1 species